rnacentral:misc_RNA from 1 species
CCUCCUUACUAUAUACGAUACUGGUGACCUUGUAUUAAGUAGUGUCUACACAAAUUGUUUUGUUAUAAAUGAAAAGAACGCGAGUGCUAAUGCAUGACAUUGGUUAUGCAUUAGCGUUUGCUAAACCUUGUUCUUUAACAAUAUGGAAAGCUGAUAAAAAAGUAAUCAAAACUGAGAAGAGUAUUUCAAGUACUUUACUCUAUCUGAUAACUGGCGAAAAAAAAUUAGCGAAGUCAUUGACCGCAAUCUAAAGGUUAUUUUGGGUUGUAUGGUUAAGUGACUAAGCGUAUACGGUGGAUGC